UGGUCAUAGACUCUAAAAGCGUGGUUGUAGAUAAAACCGUGGUCUUUUAGCAUUUUUUCAUGCUAAAAGACCACGGUUUUUUAGUAGCCUAGUCGUUUCAGUGUGGUGGUACUUAAUGUAUGACAUCGGUUUUAAAAAACACAUGUUAAAGAGGUCAAAUAGUGUAGUCUUAUUGAAUUAAUUUAAUUAAUAAUUAAAAAAUACUUCAAAUCCCUAAUUAAUCCUAACACACAAAUUAACCGCGUCUACUCUUCACACUCCCGUCGCUGCGCUCUGCCGCGCCUCCGCGCGCUGCCUGCUCAGCCAUCUCCCUCCGCCGCCUGCUUCGCUUGCUCCGCCUACUCCGCGCGCCGCCUGCUUGGCUUGCUCCGCGCGCCGCCUGCUCCGCUGCCUGCUCCGCCGUCUGCUUCGCCUGAUCCGCCGCCGCCUAAUUCGCCUGCUUCACCUGCUCCGCCGCCGCCUGCUUCACCUGCUCCGCCGCCGCAUGCUCCGCCCCCUACCUGCCUGCUCCCAUAAGCUCAGCCCCUAAUUCGAAACCCUAGCCUAAAAUCAGAGAAGGAGAGGGGACUGGGGAAAGCUCAAAGUGAAAUUCGAGCACUGAGAGCAACUGAAGCGCUCAAGGAUAAGGCUUUGGAGGAGCUUGGAAGUGAAGUCAAAAGGUUGGAAGAGAAGCUAAGAUUGAAUGGAAACCAUCUUGAGCAGAAGAAUAUUGACAUCAAGAAGCUCACAGAUGAAAAGAAAGAAGCACUAGCUGCACAAUAUGCAGCUGAAGCUACUCUUAGAAGAGUUUACGCCAAAACCAGAAAAUAUUGAGAAGUGCUUUAGAAAGAGCAUUGAUAGUCGAGGAGGUUCAAAACCAGAACUAUGAGCUUAGGAGGCAAAUUGAGAUAUGCCAGGAGGAGAAUAAAAUACUUGAUAAGACACAUAGAUAUAAGGUUUUGGAGGUUGAAAAGCUUAGCCAAACCAUCAGAGAGCUUGAGGAGGCCAUACUUGCUGGUGGAGCAGCAGCCAACACCAUCCGUGAUUACAAGCGACAGUGGUGGCUAAUGAAUGGAAAGAUGAGAACGACAAAGUUAUGCCUGUUAAACAAUGGCUAGAAGAGAGAAGGCUGCUGCAGUGACCAUUGGAUUCUUACGAUCAUCGAUCCUUAUAAGGAGGAAGCUGCUAUGUUGGAUCCCUUUUAUGAUGGUAUUCAUGAUGGUGUUUGGAAACAAGUUGUUCAAUUGGCAUUAAAGCUUUUCAAUACCCAAAAGCAGAGGAAAUGAAGAAAGAUGUCUUCGUGGUCAGUAAUUAAGGUUCCUAAACAACCUGACAACUUUCAAUGUGGUUUCUAUGUAAUGAAAUACAUGAAGGAAAUAGUUGAGUGUGAUGGUUCUCAGACGAUUGGCUCGUUGCAUUCAUUGUUCGAUAAACCAAUGUACUCCAAAGAGGACAUUGAUGACGUGCGUAAAGAAUGGGCGGACUGUGUACAAGAUCAUAUACUUGAGUAAAGAGGUAUGACGUUGCUAGUUUGGAUGCAAAGUGGAAAAAUGUCAUAUACACUUGAAAGUUUUAGUUGACGCUUAGUGAAGAACAUUGCUUAGUUGCAUAUUUUGGUUGGUAGAAUUAUGUUUAAAGUACAAUGCAAAAAAUUCUAGUCCGUUGAAUUAAUUCCCGUUUCUAGAUUAUUGUAAUGACUCUUGAAUAUUAAACUUUAUUUAAAUUUAUGUGUUUUGAUUUGUGUUU